UACGUAGGGAGCAAGCGUUGAUCGGAUUUACUGGGCGUAAAGGGCGCGUAGGCGGCAAAUUAAGUCAGCUGUGAAAUCUCCGAGCUUAACUCGGAACUGUCAGCUGAUACUGAUCUGCUAGAGUGCGGAAGGGGCAAUCGGAAUUCUUGGUGUAGCGGUGAAAUGCGUAGAUAUCAAGAGGAACACCUGAGGUGAAGACGGGUUGCUGGGCCGACACUGACGCUGAGUGCGCGAAAGCCAGGGGAGCAAACGGG
rnacentral:rRNA from 1 species